rnacentral:rRNA from 1 species
UAACCUACCUAUAAGACUGGGAUAACUUCGGGAAACCGGAGCUAAUACCGGAUAACAUUUGGAACCGCAUGGUUCUAAAGUGAAAGAUGGUUUUGCUAUCACUUAUAGAUGGACCCGCGCCGUAUUAGCUAGUUGGUAAGGUAACGGCUUACCAAGGCGACGAUACGUAGCCGACCUGAGAGGGUGAUCGGCCACACUGGAACUGAGACACGGUCCAG